UAACGGGCGUUAAUAACCACGCCCUGUUAGACUGAGCAUGGUCCACCCGCGAAUCCUCUACAGAGAUGGCUAAGCGCUGGGGUCCUGGCUGCGUCCUCUAGGCCAGCAUUGCUGCCCUUCACUUUCUUGCAGCCUGUGCAAAGGACCUUCUCACCACAGAUCAGUCAGACCAUCUUCCUCCUUCCAAGUCAUCAAAGAGUUCCAAGCUGGUCACCUGUCCCUUGAUGUUCCCAGGAAACCAGGAAAGAGGACCCCUGCAUUUUAUCUUCCCAUCCAGAGUGGCAGGAUCUCUGCCUGGGAAACAGGCUGCAUUCAGCACAGCUGUGGUAGCAUUAACAAGGCAAAGUGGGCACAUCUAGAAGUUGAAGCUAAAACAUUCAAGAACUCCAGUCUGUUUCUGUGGAUGUUAAGGGGGUGAAGAUAAAACAAUGGAGGUGAUGAGGAGGAAUAACGAAGACAGUUUAAAGCCACAGUGGUACAAAGAAUGAGGAGAAGGAAGGUGCUGGAUUUUACUAAGAAAACAGACUGAGUUCAGGAGUCUCACCAGUAGAAGUUUAUAGUAUUGCAUUUCGAUUACAUGUGUGUGAAUUUUA
rnacentral:antisense_RNA from 1 species